GUGGAUCGAGACAGCUCUACUGUAUGCGUGGAUCCGUGUGUGUCUGCGAGGCGCCGGCUCUCGGGCCGUGCUCGUGCCUGGAGCGGGGACACUGCGCAGGACGCCGAGCGUCCCCCGAGCCCCGGCGCGGUCGGGCGCCCGUUGUCGCUGUCCCCGCCGUGCUCCGGGCUCCCCAAGCCCGCACCGGGGAGGCUGGGGAAGCGGAGGCGGCCCCGGGAGAGCCAGGGCGGCCGUAGUAAUCGCGCGUAGUAGUUUGGGGGUAUGUGGAGAAGGUGCUGGAAUGUAACCGUGCCUCCGCCUGCCGGAGCCAGCCUGCAGAGGGAAAGGGAGGGGACAGGCGGAGGGCUCCCGGGGGGGGGCACCAGAGCGGCUGGCGGCACGGUCUUGACCGUGAAAGAAGAAACAGGCAUCGUCCUGCCGGCUGAAACUUUUUCUCCCCAACCCCCACUCAAGUCCACAGGCUGGCUCUUCUCUCCCACCUCGCAUUUAAGAGCGAUUAAGGCUCCGCACAGUGGAUUGCCGGCACUUGGCAGUUGGGCGACCUCUUGUUCCAAUUCUCCUUGAAAUACAGUUCUUUGGCUGGCGGAAUAGUUGCAGAAUUGACUCUUGGAGCAGGCCUGUCUGAAACGCAGUUCUAGGAUGCUGGGAACUGGGCACUGGAGAAGUUGAAGACAAGAAACAAGGCUGCAUCGGCUCAUGAAAUGGCAAAAUCUGUUUACGUGGCUGGCCCAUUGCGAGGGGAAGCAAAAGUCUGCAAGGCCACCAAGUUCAGGAGCCAAGGAGUGUCCAUGUCAGCAUCCCGUAGUUUCUGAGGCUUUGUGACCUGCUUGAUAACUUCAGCGUUAUACUUUCCCAUCUAUCCCAAAGUGAACCUCGGGAUAACAAAAGAGAACGCAUCUAAGAGAAAUAGGAUAGAGUAUGCCCUAAAGGACUGACUGUUAGAACUUGUUUUUCUGCCUGAGGAUAUGCCAGGAUAACUUUUCCCCAGGAAACAGACAUCGAGAAACCUUGAAAUUAGCAAUGUAGUAAAAGUAUAACUUCUAACUGCCUCAUAAACCGCAACUAAUAAUAUAGCCAGAUAAUCUAGUUGUCAGUAAGAGGGCCCUCACCUAAUGGCAAUGCUUAUUAUAUUAGCUAAUAAUAGGUUCUAAUUUUUUUUUCAGGCCCAAUUUGUUUGUCUGGCACACCAACCUCACACUUAUCCUUCCUUGUGCGUAAGUACCUUUGAUCCCUUUAGGAUUCCAUCUUCACCGGCCAUGCCACAUUUCAAAGAGAGAACAAUCUUCUUAGUAAGACACUGGAGGAAGAGACUGGCCAUUCCUCCUGGCGUUUUGUCAGAGGGAGAGUGGAGAAGAAAAGGCUUGCUUUGCUACCCGUGUAUAUUCCUCGGCUCAUAUAACAUUUUGGUGCAGCGCUUGGAAGGACUGCUAUCAAUGCAUUCUAUACUCAACUAUGGGAACUGAAAAAUAAAAUCUGUCUCUGGGAGCAGAGCUUAAAUACAGA